AUACGUACAUAUAUAUGAAUGUACAUACACGUGGUGGAGGGAAGCAGCAGCAGCAGGCCGUAUAAAAAAUGUUGGGUUGUUACUUCUAUACAAACUUAUGUACAUAAGUAUGUAUGUGUAUGUACGUAUGCGCUCUAUACCCGCCCUAUAAAAGCAUAUCAUUAUAUGUACAUGCAUAUGUACAUAAAGAAACGCUGACAAAGC
rnacentral:lncRNA from 1 species